rnacentral:misc_RNA from 1 species
GAUGAAGAACGUAGCGAAAUGCGAUAAGUAAUGUGAAUUGCAGAAUUCAGUGAAUCAUCGAAUAUUUGAACGCACCUUGCGCUCUUUGGUAUUCCGAAGAGCAUGCCUGUUUGAGUGUCAUGAAAAUAUCAACCUGGACUUGGGUUUUGUGCUCUAGUCUCGGCUUGGAAUUGGGUGCUUGCCGCUUUUACGAGCGGCUCACCUUAAAUGUAUUAGCUGGAUCUGUCUUUGAGACUUGGUUUGACUUGGCGUAAUAAGUAUUUCGCUAAGGACAUUCUUCGGAGUGGCCUCGUUUCUAGGACGCCUGUCCGCUUUCCAAUACAAGUUCCACCUCGUGGACAUGACUUUUUAUUAUCUGGCCUCAAAUCAGGUAGGACUACCCGCUGAACUUAAGCAUAUCAAUAAGCGGAGGA